GUAGACCCGUACACGAAAGUCUCUUAUCAAUGAAAUCGAGUAGGACGGAGCACGAGAAACUUUGUCUGAAUAUGGGGGGACCAUCCUCCAAGGCUAAAUACUACUGACUGACCGAUAGUGAACUAGUACCGUGAGGGAAAGGCGAAAAAACCCCGGAGAGGGGAGUGAAAUAGAUCCUGUAACCGUAUGCGUACAAGCGGUGGGAGCCUACUUGUUAGGUGACCUGCGUACCUUUUGUAUAAUGGGUCAGCGACUUAUAUUCAGUGGCGAGCUUAACCGAAUAGGGGAGGCGUAGCGAAAGCGAGUCUUAAUAGGGCGUUUAGUCGCUGGGUAUAGACCCGAAACCGGGCGAUCUAUCCAUGGGCAGGUUGAAGGUUAGGUAACACUGACUGGAGGACCGAACCGACUACCGUUGAAAAGUUAGCGGAUGACCUGUGGAUCGGAGUGAAAGGCUAAUCAAGCUCGGAGAUAGCUGGUUCUCCUCGAAAGCUAUUUAGGUAGCGCCUCAUGUAUCACUGUAGGGGGUAGAGCACUGUUUCGGCUAGGGGGUCAUCCCGACUUACCAAACCGAUGCAAACUCCGAAUACCUACAAGUGCCGAGCAUGGGAGACACACGGCGGGUGUUAACGUCCGUCGUGAAAAGGGAAACAACCCAGACCGUCAGCUAAGGUCCCAAAGUCAUGGUUAAGUGGGAAACGAUGUGGGAAGGCUUAGACAGCUAGGAGGUUGGCUUAGAAGCAGCCACCCUUUAAAGAAAGCGUAAUAGCUCACUAGUCGAGUCGGCCUGCGCGGAAGAUGUAACGGGUCUAC
rnacentral:rRNA from 1 species